rnacentral:rRNA from 1 species
GGUUGAUCCCGCCGGAGGUUACUGCUAUCUGAAUCCGACUAAGCCAUGCAAGUUCUGGGUUAAACCAGGGCGCAAAGCUCAGUAACACGUAGUUAACCUGCCCUUAUGUUUGGUAUAAUCUUGGGAAACUAAGGAUAAAACCGAAUAGGUAAGAGUUACUGGAAUGUUUUUUUACUGAAAUAAGGAUGGGACUGCGGCUGAUUAGGUUGUUGUUGAGGUAAAGGCUCGACAAGCCUAUAAUCAGUACGGGCCUUGAAAGAGGGAACCCGGAGAUGGAUUCUGAGACAAAAAUCCAGGUCCUACGGGACGCAGCAGGCGCGGAACUUUCGCAAUGCACGCAAGUGUGACGGAGGGAUUUAGAGUGCAUUCUCAACAUUGAGGAUGCUUUUGCCAAGUGUAAAUAGCUUGGAGAAUAAGGGGUGGGUAAGACGGGUGCCAGCCGCCGCGGUAAUACACGCGCCCCAAGUAGUAACCACGCUUAUUGGGCUUAAAGCAUUCGUAGCCGGUUUGGUAAGUUUUCAAUGAAAUCCCGCAGCAAACUGUGGGGCUUGUUGGAAAUACUACCAGACUUGAGACCGGGAGAGGUUAAGGGUAUUCUGUGGGUAGGGGUAGAAUCCUAUAAUCCUCAGAGGACCACCUGUGGCGAAGGCGCUUAACCAGAACGGAUCUGACGGUGAGGGAUGAAAGCCAGGGUAGCAAAGGGGAUUAGAUACCCCUGUAGUCCUGGCCGUAAACAAUGCCCACUCGGCAUUGGCAAUCUUACGUGGGUUGCCAGAGCCUUAGGGAAACCGUUAAGUGGGCCGCCUGGGGAGUACGUUCGCAAGGAUGAAACUUAAGGGAAUUGGCGGGGGAGCACACAAGGGGUGGAGGCUGCGGUUCAAUUCGAUUCAACGCGAGGAACCUUACCAGAAGCGACAGCAGAAUGAAGGUCAGGCUGAUGGUCUUACCCGACCAGCUGAGAGGUGGUGCAUGCCGUCGUCAGUUCGUGGCGUGAGCUGUCGACUUAAGUGUCGUAACGAACAAGACCCACACCCUAUGUUACUAAGAUACCGGUUUCGGUGUCUGUACUUAUAGGGGACCGCUGCUGAUAAAGCAGAGGAAGGAGUGGUCGACGGCUGGUCCGUAUGCUCUGAAUCUUCUGGGUUACACGCGGCCUACAAUGGUAGGGACAAUGGGAUGCGACUCCGAAAGGAGAAGCUAAUCUCCAACCCCUAUCUCAGUCCGAAUUGAGGGCUGCAACUCGCCCUCAUGAAGCCGAAAUCCCUAGUAGGCGCUGGUCAUCAUCUAGCGUCGAAUAUGUUCCUGCUCCUUGCACACACUGCCCGUCAAGCCAACCGAGUGGAGUUUUGGUGAGCUUUUACCGUUUUGGUAGAAUCGAGCCUGAGCUUUGCAAGGUGGGCUAAGUCGUAACAAGGUA